UUGUAGUCCUGAGGAGGCGUGGAGACAAGGGAGGAGGAAAUGUUGAGUGUCAAAAUGGGUGUGGUUUGAAAGCCAAAAUGUUGACUACGUCUUCCAUGCCAGUCAUUUAUUAAGAGCGCUGCUUGUGAACAAGCAGCGGUGCAGGUUUGGACUAAAAUAUAGCGUUUUUGUUGAUUAGCUGACCAAACAAUAUGCCAAAUGGCGUCUUUCUAAAAUGCUGCAUGCAUUUCAUCUCAAUUAGCCAGCCACUAUGUUUUUGGUCAAUAUAAUUAGCUAGAGGUCACUUAAAUUAGCUAGAGGGUAGGUUUGAGGUCACCCAAAUUAGCUCGCUAGUCGGAUUGAAGUCACCUGAAUAAGCGAGCUGGUAGGUUUGAGGUGUCCCGAGUCAGCUAGCCGGUAGGUUUAAGGUCACUUGACAUAGCUAGAGGGUAGGUUUGAGGUCCCCUAAAUUAGUUCAGAUGGUAGGAUUGAGGUCACCUGAAUUAGCUUAGAGGGCAACAUUGAGGUCACCUGAAUUAGCCAGAGGGUAGGUUUGAGGUCACCUGAAUUAGCUAGCCGGAAGGUUUGAGGACACCUGAAUUAGCUAUGGGUUAGGUUUGAGGUCACCUGAAUUAGCUAGCCGGUAGGUUUGCAGUCACCUGAAUUAGCCAGAAGUCACCUGAAUUAGCUCGCUAGUAGGUUUGAGGUCACCUGAAUUAGCCAGCGAGUAGGUUUGACCCCAUGUACUAAAGUGUGACUAACCAAUUCAUCAAAACGUCUGAUUUGGUUUAAAGUCACAAAAAAGGUUUUGUAGAACCACAAUGUGGGCAUUUAGUGCAUUGUGAACAGGCCUACUGCCAGGCAUGAUGGGUAAACGCACCUGGAGGAUCUUCUGCACACCACGGGCGACGUCGUAGUGCUCAGAGCCCACAAUGUUGGGGUCCAUGAUACGGGAGGUGGAAUCAAGGGGGUCCACGGCGGGGUAGAUACCCAGCUCAGCAAUGGCACGAGACAGCACGGUAGUGGCGUCAAGAUGGGCGAAGGUGGUGGCGGGCGCGGGGUCAGUCAGAUCGUCAGCGGGCACAUAGAUGGCCUG